rnacentral:lncRNA from 1 species
AUUCAUAUUAAUAUGUUUUCCUGCACAAGAGAUAAAAGUUACCACAGAUACAGCUUCUUCAGACUGAUUUCUAGAUAUAUACGUCAUAUUUGACUUCAGCUGUCAUCGGAGUACCACCAUUUAUAACAAAUUAAUAAAUAUGCUUCGCAUUAUCACUAAUAUAUCAGAUCCACCAGCGUAUGUAGUAUACAUUUCUAAAUUAACGG